rnacentral:rRNA from 1 species
AUGGAAAACAAGUUAGUGGACGGAACAGUUGAUGAGAAAAUCGAGAAAAGGAGGCUACCAUACCAAUUGAUUAAAAAAAUUACCAAUGAUUUCGAUGACGAGCGAAUACUUGGCAGUGGUACAUUCGGAACAGUUUACAAGGGUGUUUUUGAAAAUGGAGAAGAUAUUGCUGUCAAGGUACUUCAUAACAGCAUAUCAGGACUUGAUGGUGAGGAAUUUCGAAAAGAAUUCCAAAUCCUUAGGGAGCUCAAGCAUCAAAACGUUGUGGAGUUGGUGGGCUUCUGCAAUGAACCAGAGGAAGUACUUGUAGAGCACGAGGGAAAACAAGUGGUUGCUAUUGAGAUGCAUAGGGCGCUCUGCUUUGAGUAUGUACACAAUGGUAGUCUUCAUACUUAUAUUUCAGAAGUAUAUACAGGACUUAACUGGCACACACGUUACAAAAUAAUAAAAGGGAUAUGUGAGGGUUUAAAAUAUCUUCGAGGGGGGUUGAAAUCUUCUAUAUGGCAUCUGGACUUGAAGCCUGAUAACAUAUUGCUAAAUAACAAAAUGAUACCAAAAAUUGCUGACUUUGGUUUAUCAAGGCUCCUUCGUGAAGAAAAAACAAGAAAAACCCUCAAUUGUUUUGGAACACGGUAAGUAAUCUCGGAAUACUCUGACAUAUUUAGUUUAGGUGUUAUAAUCGUAAAGAUAAUGAUCGGGUCCGAAGGGUACACACGAAUUGCUGAUAUGACGACUCGGAAAUUUGUUAAUCAUGUACAUGAAAGCUGGAGGGGAAAACUAAAUGGCAUAGCAAAGCCCAGAUCACUUGAAGUAUACUGCAACCAAGUGAAGAGAUGCAUUGAGAUAGCAUUACAAUGCUUGAAACCGAACAGACAAGAAAGGCCUACUAUAGAGAAUAUCGUUUCUAGUUUGAACGAGACAGAAUCAAUGAUAGGUGACCAAGGGCUGCAGAUAGAGCAGGUAACAAUCAAUUGUGACACAUAUAUGUCACUUCGAAGUUUCUUAGAAAUUCAAAUCAUUAGGUACCGACUCUUUCGGACCUAA